AAACAGCACGCAUGCAAAUUUACCCAGCAAAAUGUGCGUGCUGGGGGCAGUCUUUUGGGUGCCAUCUGGGUGUAUUUCAAUAUAGUGCAUCCAGGUGCAUUUUAGUGGGAAUGUAAAAAAACCAAACUCAAACCCGAAGGUUGCCGAUGCGCAUUUUUUUACAAUCGUCUUUUUUCGGAACUGUUCUCUUGACAAACAAAUAAUAAAGACAAAAGGGAACAUGCAAGGAAGCGAGCGGUUUUUCUUGUCUCUUGCAUUUCUCGUCAGUUGCAUUUUUAGUUCUGAAAAGAGAAGUUCGUGCCACGUGAUUUGAAAAAGUUUGUUGCUUUCUGCCACCAAUUUUACAUCAAUAUUUUCACAGAAUCGAAAAAAUGAUUGGGCACACCAAGGACUGAACUGCGUAAAUGACAAAAGUACAUAAACAAGAAGGAAGCACCAAAGCACCGUACAGAAGGGGAGUUACUCCGAUUAAAAAUUAGUUGCGUUUUUGAAUAUUGAAAUGAAAAUAAAUAUGAAAUUGAAAUCCAGUUUUAUGUAUUCCUGGGGAAAACUUCCAGAUAUUUCGUUUUUGAAUGCUUCUAGGUGCAUUCCUGGGUACAUGUUACAGGUGCAUUAAAAAAGAGUACACCCAGAAGGAGUUUAGUAUGUUGCUUCCAGGUGCAUUAAAAAAUAAUACACCCAGAAUGUGUUUAGUAUGUUGCUUCCAGGUGCAUUAAAAAAGAGUACACCCAGAAUGUGUUUAGUUUGUUACUUCCAGGUGCAUUCCAGAUAUAUGCUUCCAGAAGCAUGCAACGGGUGCAUUCUUUUUUGUCCCGCACCCGUGUAAAAAGAAUGGACAGACUCAUCACUUCCGGAACACCUUUUUGAUGCCAUUUCAUAAUGAAAGAACGCGUGCUGGAAUGCUGUCAUUUACGACUGGGCAUGUGCUGAAUUUAGUUUCUUUCUUAAAAUUCUUUUAAUAUAGUCAUACAAAUUAUUUAUAUCUUGUCUUUUUGUAAUAUAUACUACAUUCAUUUUACAAAUGCGUAUGUGAAUGUUUUUGCAUUCACAUAUGUACAAUGUACAUAUGUAUGUAUUUAUAUGUAUUGGGAAAGUCGUGCAGUUUGUAUUGCGCAGUAGGCUUACUCGACAACAAGAAAUGAUGGAAAAUUCAUUUUAGAUAUGGAUCAAAUAUUAAAAGACUUUAAAUACGAAAAACUAAAAGAGUACAUUCAAGAUAAGAGAUUUUGAACUUAAAUAUCCAGAUAUCAUCGUCAAUUUCGAACAAGGUUUCUGUUUCGAAUUAAAAAAGGAUUCAAUUGACGACGAUAAACUUAAUAUUGGAACUCUAACAAUUGUGCAUGCCGUCCUAAAACCAAAAGCUCGUAAGGUGGUUAUACAAAGGCUAAUAAUAAGAAAAUCGGAAAAUCUUAAUUUUUCGUUUAUUAUGCCGAUAUUUACUAUAAGUUUAAAAAUAUUUUAAGCGCAAUUGAAACUUGCUUCAAACUUUUUUUUGUUCUUGAUCUUAAAUAUCCUGACUCGUGUAAGCUAGUAUGGUUGUUUUUUCAAGAAUUACCUUGAAGUCAUUAGAUAGUGAAAUACAUACCUCGGUUAAGUCAUUAAUAAAUGACUUAAAAUAAAAAACACUGUACAUGUGAGCAUGUCAUUUUUGAAUAAACAUUUUUUGUUCUCCUAACUUCAAA